rnacentral:rRNA from 1 species
ACCUCGGAUCAGGUAGGAAGACCCGCUGAACUUAAGCAUAUCAAUAAGCGGAGGAAAAGAAACCAACAGGGAUUGCCCUAGUAACGGCGAGUGAAGCGGCAACAGCUCAAAUUUGAAAUCUGGCUUCGGCCCGAGUUGUAAUUUGCAGAGGAAGCUUUAGGCGCGGCACCUCCUGAGUCCCCUGGAACGGGGCGCCACAGAGGGUGAGAGCCCCGUAUAGUUGGAUGCCUAGCCUGUGUAAAGCUCCUUCGACGAGUCGAGUAGUUUGGGAAUGCUGCUCAAAAUGGGAGGUAAAUUUCUUCUAAAGCUAAAUACCGGCCAGAGACCGAUAGCGCACAAGUAGAGUGAUCGAAAGAUGAAAAGCACUUUGAAAAGAGGGUUAAAUAGCACGUGAAAUUGUUGAAAGGGAAGCGCUUGUGACCAGACUUGCGCCGGGCUGAUCAUCCGGUGUUCUCACCGGUGCACUCUGCCCGGCUCAGGCCAGCAUCGGUUCUCGCGGGGGGAUAAAGGCCCUGGGAACGUAGCUCCUCCGGGAGUGUUAUAGCCCGGGGCGCAAUGCCCUCGCGNGGACCG